CCUGAAGAGCUUGGUUGCAGAAACUUCGGGGUCUACAAAGGCCGGCAGGAGCUGAGCCAAAAGAGCUUGUUUGCUGGGAGGCAGGAGCUGGGCUGGGAGAUGCAGCCAGGAGGAACAGCUGGGCCUACAGAGGCCGCCAUGCGGGAGGCAGAGGACGGGCCUCCUCAAGUCAGCCUCUCCAGACCCACUUGCAGCCUCCUGGCAUCCUCUCCGGGCCCAGCUCUUCCUCCCGGCUGUGUCUCCAGGCCCGACUCCGGCCUCCCAACAACGUCUUUGGACUCAGCUCCUGCCCAGCUCCCAGGGGCCCUGGUAGGCCCACAACUUUCCGAAGCCAAGCUCCCCAGGCCCAGCUCAGGCCUCACGGUGGCCUCUUCAGGCUCAGCUCCUACCCUCCAAUGGCAUCUGCAGGCCCCAAACAGCCUCCGGUUGGUGGGCUCCUCUAGGCCCAGCUUGGGCCUCCUGGUAGCCUCUGAAGGCCCAAAUCGUCCCGAAGUUGGCCUCUCCAGGACCAGCUCCAGCCUCCUGGCUGCCUCUGCAGGCCCAAGUCUUCCUCAAGUCGGCCUGGAAGUGGGCCUGGAAGAGCUGCAAGUCAGCCUCCCUGGGCCCAGCUCCGUCCUCUCGGUGGCCUCUCCAGGUGCAAAACUUCCUCGAGUCAGCCUCUCCAGGCCCAGCUCCUCCUGCCUCCCAGUGGCCUCUUUUGGCCCAGCCCAGCUCAUGGCUCUCGGCGGCCUUCCCAGGCCUUGCUUUUGACUUUUGGCGGCCUCUUCAGGCCCCGAACUUGA
rnacentral:lncRNA from 1 species